UGGAGCAAUCCAUGAGUAGAGUGGCAAACGGGUGAGUAACGCGUGGGUGACCUGCCUUCGAGCGGGGGAUAACGCUCCGAAAGGGACGCUAAUACCGCAUAACAUCCCGCCUUUUAAGAGGUGGAGAUCAAAGCCUGGGACCGCAAGGCCAGGCGCUCAAAGAGGGGCCCGCGUCUGAUUAGCUAGUUGGUGGGGUAAUGGCUCACCAAGGCUUCGAUCAGUAUCCGGCCUGAGAGGGCGGACGGACACACUGGGACUGAGACACGGCCCAGACUCCUACGGGAGGCAGCAGUGGGGAAUUGUUCGCAAUGGGCGCAAGCCUGACGACGCAACGCCGCGUGGAGGAUGAAGACCUUCGGG
rnacentral:rRNA from 1 species